rnacentral:lncRNA from 1 species
CUCGACUCCAGCCAGCUUAGUUCUUUGGAGAAGCAGUGUGGAGUCCUAAAAAAGGAGGCUGAGUCUUACCGUUGAGGUCGGUGCCGGUAGAGAAUGGGAGGGAGUCUGCAGGAGCCAAGCACCCUAAAGAAGAGGAAGAGAGCACGUUGCUGAGAUUUGAACAGCGACCUGAGAGGUCAGACUGGACCCAGGCCUCCUCAAGAUACUUCAUGCUGCCUAAUAUUCUACCGAGCCAGCCUAGGGGACUUGGAUCUGUCUCGCCUGGGGCUAAGAGAAUAGUUUCUCUAAGAAGAAAACAGUUCUAAUUCAAAGAUGCUGGAUCUGGCUUCCUUUAAAGCCUGAAGUCGCUGAAGUGGCCAUAGAACUAUGGGGUCCAGAGGACUGCCAGUCUCAGCCAGCCUUUAGGCUGGAGAGAGGCUGUGGGCCUGCUUGGGGACUAAAAUGGAUGAAUAAGAAACCUGUAAGAAAUGUAAACAGAUGGAAUGGCAAGGAGGAGAGCGCUGGAGAUUGUUCAGGUGUGAGCUGAGGUUUCUGAGUUUGUACUGGGGAUGCCUUUGCACACAGUGAGGUGCCCCCUCCCUAAGUGGCUCUUGUUUUGCACAAACAGCCCCACCCUGCGCACACACUGUGGGUCUCAGUAGGGACUGAGGGUGUAGGUGCUCAGGUUUUGGGGGUGGUGGUGAAGGGGCACUCAGAAUCAACAAGACAGGGCGGGGAAAAUCAAAAUCAACCAAGGAACCAGCCUUCCAUUUCUGAAAAGCCGCGCUCUGGCCCCCGUGCUUCAGUUCUGAAAUACGAAUAAAUGGAGUCAGAUCCCGUACUACA